GUGCCAGCAGCCGCGGUAAUACGUAUGGUGCAAGCGUUAUCCGGAUUUACUGGGUGUAAAGGGAGCGCAGGCGGCGCGCUAAGUCUGAUGUGAAAGCCCGGGGCUCAACCGCGGGACUGCAUUGAAAACUGGCGCGCUGGAGUGCCGGAGAGGUAAGCGGAAUUCCUAGUGUAGCGGUGAAAUUCGUAUAUAUUAGGAGGAACACCAGUGGCGAAGGCGGCUUACUGGACGGUGACUGACGCUGAGGCUCGAAAGCGUGGGGAGCAAACAGGAUUACAUACCCUGGUACUCCACGCUGUAAACAAUGAAUACCAGGUGUCGGGUGCCAGAGGCAUCCGGUGCCGCAGCAAACGCAGUAAGUAUUCCACCUGGGGAGUACGUUCGCAAGAAUGAAACUCAAAGGAAUUGACGGGCACCCGCACAAGGGGUGGAGCGUGUGGUUUAAUUCGAAGCAACGCGAAAAACCUUACCAUGCCUUGACAUCCCGGCGACGGAGCGUGUAAUGCUCUUUUCCUUCGGAACGGCGGAGACGGGUGGUGCAUGUUUUGUCCUCCCCUCCGUGUCGAGAGAUGGUUGGGGUUAAGUCCCCGCAACGAACCGCACCCCCUUGCCCCUUAUUACCCAGCCGCGGCAGAGGCGGGUCUCUCUAGGGGGGGACUGCCAAGGAAAAACCUGGAAGGAAGGGGGG
rnacentral:rRNA from 1 species